AGUGAACGCUGGCGGUAGGCCUAACACAUGCAAGUCGAACGGCGGCGCAGUAAGAGCUUGCUCUUACGGGUGGCGAGUGGCGGACGGGUGAGGAAUACAUCGGAAUCUACUUUUUCGUGGGGGACAACGUAGGGAAACUUACGCUAAUACCGCAUACGACCUACGAUUGAAAGCAGGGGAUAUUCGUACAUUGCGAGAACGAAUGAGCCGUUGUCGGAUUAGUUAGUUGGCGGGGUAAAGGCCCACAAAGGCGACGGUCCGUACAUGGUCUGAGGGGAUGAUCACCCACAUGGGAACGGGGACAGGGCCCAGCCCCCAAGGGAGGGCGGCAGUGGGGAAUAUUGGACAAUGGGGGCAAGCCUGAUCCAGCCAUCCCGGGGGGUGGAGGAAGGCCUUCGGUUUGUAAAGCCCUUUGGUUGGGAAAGAAAAGCAGCAGGUUAAUACGCCGCUGUACUGACGGUACCCAAAGAAUAAGCACCGGCUAACUUCGUG
rnacentral:rRNA from 1 species